GGUUCAGUGAAGAGGAUGAAGAGUAACUUAUUCCGAGAUGGUUAUGUCAGACAGGAGCUGGGAGUUUGCUCGAAGGAUUCUUGCACAGAAUCCUGUCUGGCCAGUAAUUGAAGUAACAGGAAAAGCAAUAGAAGAAACUGCAGCUGUUGUAUUGAGACUUUAUCACGACCGGAAGCACAAGUGCUCUAUGCCAAGAAUAUCAAAACGCUACUAGAAACGGAAAUUUUGAACCAAGGAAGUAACAUCCGAACUGUCUGCAAACCAAAAUAUGAGGUAAAAAUAUGCUGAAUGGCAUGCCUCUUUUAUAUUAUAUACCCUUGAUACAUACAUAAAUAAACAUAUAUAGUGUUACCUUUACGUGAAUAUAUUUGUUGUACCAAAACAUGAGGUAAGAAUAUGCUGAAUGGCAUGCCUCUUUUAUUUUAUAUACCUGUGGUACAUCGUAAACAUAGAUAUAGUGUUACCAAUACAUGAAUGUCGAGUAUAGCCAUGCAGUUUCUCUGCUGAAAAGAUUUCUUUGGUUUGAAUCAA